rnacentral:rRNA from 1 species
GACAGAGGUGCCGAGCGUUAGGCGGAAUCACUGGGCUUAAAGCGUGUGUAGGCGGAUCGUUAAGUACCUUGUGAAAUCCCACGGCUUAACCGUGGAACUGCUGAGUAUACUGGCGAUCUUGAGGUGCUCAGGGGCGAGCGGAACAGAUGGUGGAGCGGUGAAAUGCGUAGAUAUCAUCUGGAACGCCUGCGGUGAAAACGGCUCGCUGGGAGCAAUCUGACGCUGAGACACGAAAGCCAGGGGAGCGAACGGG